rnacentral:misc_RNA from 1 species
AAGUCGUAACAAGGUUUCCGUAGGUGAACCUGCGGAAGGAUCAUUACAAAGUAAAGCCUGGUAGGAAGUGGGGUCUUGAUCUGUAAGUGGUAGAGCGAACAGUCCGGGCUCGCCUCCCCGGAAAAUGUCCUUACCAGCUGUCCCCCCAUAGCCUGAAGGCCGAAUUACAACCCGUUGAUUAUCUACACUUGUUGCUUUGGGGUCUCAAGUCGCCCCAGAGGACCCCAACUCUCGUGCAAUUAGGAACGUCUGAGUACUAUGAAUAUUAAA